CAGCAGCCGCGGUAAUACGUAGGUGGCAAGCGUUGUCCGGAAUUAUUGGGCGUAAAGCGCGCGCAGGCGGUCCUUUAAGUCUGAUGUGAAAUCUUGCGGCUCAACCGCAAGCGGCCAUUGGAAACUGGGGGACUUGAGUGCAGGAGAGGGAAGUGGAAUUCCACGUGUAGCGGUGAAAUGCGUAGAGAUGUGGAGGAACACCAGUGGCGAAGGCGGCUUCCUGGCCUGUAACUGACGCUGAGGCGCGAAAGCGUGGGGAGCAAACAGGAUUAGAUACCCUGGUAGUCCACGCCGUAAACGAUGAGUGCUAAGUGUUAGGGGGUUUCCGCCCCUUAGUGCUGCAGCUAACGCAUUAAGCACUCCGCCUGGGGAGUACGGCCGCAAGGCUGAAACUUAAAGGUGGCGGG
rnacentral:rRNA from 1 species